CUUGACAAGACUUAGGAAAGAUGUUUCAAGGUCUUGGCAAGGUGCUUAAGCUGUGAAUGCUAAUUGGUGAUUGAUUCUUAUGUUACACAAUAAUUGUUAUCAAAACUUUUAUUUCACCCAUACUUUUUACAGGCAUGUUAUGGAGAACUUGUCAAACCCAAGUUUGCUAAUGGAUGUUCAAUAAAUGCAGAUGCUUUGCUGAAAGUCUCUGGACAAGGUGCUGUGUAUGUUCGUUUAUUGGAAAAGCAUGCUGUGUUUGAGUUAGAUUGUAGUUCUUCUGACUCUGAUGGUGAAAGCCUUAUUCAAACUACAAUGAAUGUCUAUACAAGUCGUGCUAAUGACAACAAUUAUCAGGAGGAAUUGUCAACACCAGUCACAACACCAACUAUUAAGAGCUCUUCCUCUGAGAAUUAUCAAACACCAUUUGAAGAAUUUUUGGUGAGUGAUGGUGAGUUUGUUGCAUCUGUUGAUAUUCAGU